CCUUUGAUAGCUCAGCUGGUAGAGUGCAGGACUGUAGAUCCUUAGGUUGCUGGUUCAACUCCAGCUUGAAGGA